rnacentral:tRNA from 1 species
GGAAAAGAAGCGCACCCCGGUGGGGCGCCCGGACUUCAAAUCCGGUGGGAGACGUUAGACGUCUCCGGUGGGUUCGACUCCCACUCUUUUCCGCCA